GCAGCAGCACGCCGUCAGGCAGCAGCACGCCGUCAGACAGCAGCACGCCGUCAGAUUCUCCGUCAUGUCCACUACCUGCAUGGCGGGGUAAAUGAGCUUGCCGGCGAUCGCGCGCGCGUCAGUCCUGGUCCGAAAGCACCGCCGAGGACGCCCCUAAGGCCCUGACCAUGGACAGCGUGCUGACCGCGCCGCUGGGACUCCGCCUGCACCGCAAUACGCUCACGCGGCAGGACGCCGUCGUGGUGCCCACUCGUCUCGGCCUCGUGCGUCUGCGUCGCGGCGGCUCGGAGCAGCAGG